rnacentral:rRNA from 1 species
UACGUAGGGUGCAAGCGUUGUCCGGAAUUAUUGGGCGUAAAGAGCUCGUAGGCGGUCUGUCGCGUCGGAUGUGAAAACCCAGGGCUCAACCCUGGGCCUGCAUUCGAUACGGGCAGACUAGAGUUCGGUAGGGGAGACUGGAAUUCCUGGUGUAGCGGUAAAAUGCGCAGAUAUCAGGAGGAACACCGGUGGCGAAGGCGGGUCUCUGGGCCGAAACUGACGCUGAGGAGCGAAAGCGUGGGGAGCAAACAGG